AAAUGGUUUUAUUCUAGCCAAUUUAAUUAUGAUAAAUUAGUUUGACAUGGGAAGUAAUUGUUUAGAAAAGUUUAUUAUCCAGUCUUUGGGAUUUUACAAUUAAUUUAAUUUAGAUAGAGCUAAUUUUAUUAAUGUUGGAAUAAAGUGUGCCAGCAUCCGCGGUUAGACACGAAAUGUGAAUAAUUAAUAUUAGUUAGAGUAAAAAGUUAUUUUAAUGGGUAGGAUUAAUUAGUUUUGGUGAAAUAUUAUUAGUUAGGGGUAUUAAAAUUUAUAUUUGAAGCUUAGGAAAUAAUGUAAGAAACUAGGAUUAGAUACCCUAUUAUUAUUAAUUAGAUUGGGAAAGAUAGAGGUAGUAUUAGAUACAGGCUUGAAACCUAAAGAAUUUGGCGGUGUUUUAGUCCGUUCAGAGGAAUCUGUUCCAUAAUCGAAAAUACACGAUAAUAAGUACUUGAUUUAUUUAGUUUGUAUACCGCCGUCGUAAGAAUGUUUUAAGGAGAGGAGGAAUUUUCUUUAAAUGUGAAUUUAUUGUAUGUCAGGUCAAGGUGCAGCUUAUAGUUAAGAGGAAAUGGAUUACAAUAAAAUGAUUAUUUAUAACGGAAUGUUAAUAGAAUUACAUAUUUAAGGAGGAUUUGAAAGUAAACUUAGUUUUAUUUAAGUUGAUUUAGGCUCUAAAACAUGCACACAUCGCCCGUCACUCUCAUUAUAGGUGAGAUAAGUCGUAACAGAGUAGAUGUAUUGGAAAAUGUAUCUAGAAUGUC
rnacentral:ncRNA from 1 species